rnacentral:rRNA from 1 species
UACGUAGGGGCCGAGCGUUGUCCGGAGUUACUGGGCGUAAAGCGCGCGCAGGUGGCUCAUUACGCCCGGCGUGAAAGCCCCCGGCCUAACCGGGGAGGGUCGUCGGGGACGGGUGAGCUUGAGGGUAUCAGGGGCUGGUGGAAUUCCCGGUGUAGUGGUGAAAUGCGUAGAGAUCGGGAGGAACACCCGUGGCGAAGGCGGCCAGCUGGGAUACACCUGACACUGAGGCGCGAAGGCGUGGGGAGCGAACGGGAUUAGAAACCCCCGUAGUCC